rnacentral:rRNA from 1 species
AUGGUCAGCACUCAGCAGUCCAAAAGGACGGGUGCACCGGCACUCGCCCCGUCGUCGCUGCCUCAGUUCGUUCCGCCGUUGAUGCAUCAUCUCGUCCGGCCGUCGGCGCCACAGCUAAUCCUGCCAUCGGCGCUGCACCUCGUCCCGCCGCUGGCACCUCACCUUGUCCCACCACCACGCCAGCCCACCAAAGGCAGCGGCGGCCUCUACACCAUGCUGGCUCCCCCAGACGCAAGGCCCCUUGUGUUCGGUCUUGCCAUGCUAGCCUUCUAUUUGAUACAUUUGUUCACCUGUUUAUGCAUCUCUGGGGAGUGGAUUCUCACCCACCUGGUGGGUUCCUUGGUUUAUUUAACAACACGCCAAGCCUUUCACAAUCUUGAGGCUCGGAAGCUUCCAUGCCUUGCAGCAAAAGAUCACAAGGAGUCAGUCAUGCUAGAAACAUACCGCUCGUUGAUGAUGCAAGACACAACUAGGAUGUCUGAAGAUGUGAGAUGUGAGGACGUGUUGGCAUUGAAGUGUUUCCGGGAGAAGCUAUUUGGCAAAACUGACUAA